AGCAGCCGCGGUAAUUCCAGCUCCAAUAGCGUAUAUUAAAGUUGCUGCAGUUAAAAGCUCGUAGUUGAAUUUCGGGAUCAAUAUGUUGGUCGUGCCUCGGUACGUACUAGCUUAUUGGUUUCUCCCUUCUGACGAACCAUGAUGUCAUUUAUUUGGUGUUAUGGGAAAUCAGGACUGUUACUUUUAGAAAAAUUAGAGUGUUUAAAGCAGGCUCACGCUUGAAUACAUUAGCAUGGAAUAAUGAAAUAGGACGUUUGAUUCUAUUUUGUUGGUUUCUAGGAUCGACGUAAUGAUUAAUAGGGAUAGUUGGGGCAUUAGUAUUCAAUUGUCAGAGGUUGAAAUUCUUGGGAUUUUUAUUGAAGACUAACUACUGCGAAAGCAUUUUGCCAAGGAUGUUUUCAUUAAUCAAGAACGAAAGUUUAGGGGGAUCGAAGACGAUCAGAUACCGUCGUAGUCUUAACCAU
rnacentral:rRNA from 1 species